rnacentral:rRNA from 1 species
UGGGGAAUAUUGCACAAUGGGGGAAACCCUGAUGCAGCAACGCCGCGUGAGUGAUGAAGGUCUUCGGAUUGUAAAACUCUGUCUUUGGGGACGAUAAUGACGGUACCCAAGGAGGAAGCCACGGCUAACUACGUGCCAGCAGCCGCGGUAAUACGUAGGUGGCAAGCGUUGUCCGGAUUUACUGGGCGGAAAGGGAGCGUAGGUGGAUAUUUAAGUGGGAUGUGAAAUACUCGGGCUUAACCUGAGUGCUGCAUUCCAAACUGGAUAUCUAGAGUGCAGGAGAGGAAAGUGGAAUUCCUAGUGUAGCGGUGAAAUGCGUAGAUAUUAGGAAGAACACCAGUGGCGAAGGCGACUUUCUGGACUGUAACUGACACUGAGGCUCGAAAGCGUGGGGAGCGAACA